rnacentral:rRNA from 1 species
UACGGAGGGUGCAAACGUUGCUCGGAAUCAUUGGGCGUAAAGCGCGCGUAGGCGGCGAGGCAAGUUGGAUGUGAAAGCCCUGGGCUCAACCUAGGAUGUGCAUACAAAACUGCCUCGCUUGAAUCUCGGAGGGGGUCAGGGAAUUCCCGGUGUAGAGGUGAAAUUCGUAGAUAUCGGGAGGAACACCAGUGGCGAAGGCGCUGACCUGGACGAUGAUUGACGCUGAGGCGCGAAAGCGUGGGGAGCGAACAGG